GGAAGAAUCUCUGGAGAUUUCUCCUUAGUGAAGCUUCUUCCUGCAAGCCUAGCAUCUUCUGGUACAAAGAAUCUUGAGCUGCAUCUACCUUUCCCUGUGUUGUUCUCCAUCGAAGUGGGAUCAAAAGCAGAUGAAGACACAAGCAUUAUUACUUCUUUCCACUGUGAGCAUGUUUUCAGUAAAUGAAAUUUAACUGCUGAUGGCAUGAUUCCUACUGCUGGUAUCUCGGUGAAGAGAGGGUAAAGAUGUUGGGGAGUCAGUGUCUUCAGAGCCCGAAGAAGUGAAAGCACUGCUCAGAGCACUGCAGUACAGAAACGGAAUUUGUGCAACGACAGCGAGUGCGACCCACGAGUAAACGCCCGCGGGAAGGCCAGGAGGCCGCACGGGACCUUCCAGCUGCAGGCGCGCGGCCGGCUGAUAUUUCCUAAAGGACGCGCGAAGCAGAACGGCGCGUAGCCGCGCUCCGUCACACCGCGCGCCACUUCAUGACACCCGCUCGGACCUCCCCGCGCCGCACUCACGGCGGGGCCGUUUCCAGCCGGCCCGAGCCUUGGCACCGCGCGGCCCCGGCCCGCCCCGCGC